CAGUAGCCGCGGGAAUACAGAGGGUGCAAGCGUUAAUCGGAAUUACUGGGCGUAAAGCGCGCGUAGGUGGUUUGUUAAGUUGGAUGUGAAAUCCCCGGGCUCAACCUGGGAACUGCAUCCAAAACUGGCAAGCUAGAGUAUGGUAGAGGGUGGUGGAAUUUCCUGUGUAGCGGUGAAAUGCGUAGAUAUAGGAAGGAACACCAGUGGCGAAGGCGACCACCUGGACUGAUACUGACACUGAGGUGCGAAAGCGUGGGGAGCAAACAGGAUUAGAUACCCCGGUAGUCCCUGUCUCUUAUAC
rnacentral:rRNA from 1 species